rnacentral:rRNA from 1 species
UUAGCCCUAAACACAAAUAAUUAUAAAAACAAAAUUAUUCGCCAGAGUACUACCGGCAACAGCCCGAAACUCAAAGGACUUGGCGGUGCUUUAUACCCUUCUAGAGGAGCCUGUUCUAUAAUCGAUAAACCCCGAUAAACCUCACCAAUCCUUGCUAAUACAGUCUAUAUACCGCCAUCUUCAGCAAACCCUAAAAAAGGGACAAAAGUAAGCUCAAUAAUAACACAUAAAGACGUUAGGUCAAGGUGUAACCUAU